CUGUUACUGGAAGUGAUAUCACUUUGGGAGUUUUAGAGAAAAUAAAUAGCUUAACUUGUAUCAAGAGUUUUUCGAUAUAUAUAGAAUUAUUUAGUGUCGCCGGGCGCUGACUACACUCACUUAAAAGUUCUGCAGAGUCAGCGGGGAACAAGUGGCUUAAUUUACAACGAUUAGAUUAACGAAAAAAGGUGCCUGAAAGCGGUGUAUUGAGGAAAGAGAGAUCUGCCCAUCUGUCUUGACACUGGGUCGGGCUGCCAAA